GACGAACGCUGGCGGCGUGCUUAACACAUGCAAGUCGAACGAAGUGGCGAACGGGUGAGUAACGCGUAAUCAACCUGCCCUUCAGCGGGGGACAACAGUUGGAAACGACUGCUAAUACCGCAUACUGAAGGAGGGGCUUGCGUCUGAUUAGCUAGUUGGAGGGGUAACGGCCCACCAAGGCGAUGAUCAGUAGCCGGGCGGGGAGGAUGAACGGCCACAUUGGGACUGAGAAACGGGCCAGACUCCUACGGGAGGGAGCAGGGGGGAAACUUCCGCAAAGGAAGAAAGUCUGACGAGGCAACGCCGCGGGAGGGAUGAAGGGCUUCGGGUUGUAAAGCUCUGUUAAUCGGGACGCGGUACCGGAAUAGAAAGCCACGGCUAACUACGUGCCAGCAGCCGCGGUAAUAC
rnacentral:rRNA from 1 species